rnacentral:tRNA from 1 species
ACCUUUAGCUAAUUAAGUAUAAUUUUGAAGAAGUUAAGAUAUAAUAGGUA